rnacentral:tRNA from 1 species
GUUUUUGUAGCUCAGUGGUAGAGUGCAUGGCUUUUAAUGAUGUGGUUGUGGUGGGUUCGAUCCCCACAGACA